CCUACGGGUGGCAGCAGUGGGGCAUAUUGCACAAUGGGGGAAACCCUGAUGCAGCGACGCCGCGUGAGUGAAGAAGUAUUUCGGUAUGUAAAGCUCUAUCAGCAGGGAAGAAAUAGCGACCUUUGGGUCGCCAGACGGUUCCUGAUUAAGAAGCCCCGGCUAACUUCGUGCCAGCAGCCGCCGUCAUACGUAGGGGGCAAGCGGUAUCCGGAUUUACUGGGUGUAAAGGGGGCGUAGACAGCAGCGCAAGUCUGGAGUGAAAAGCCGGGGCUUAAACCCGGGACUGCUUUGGAAAUUGUGGAGCUAGAGUGCAGGAGAGGUAAGUGGAAUUCCUGGUGUAGCGGUGAAAUGCGUAGAUAUAAGGAGGAACACCAGUGGCGAAGGCGGCUUACUGGACUGUAACUGACGUUGAGGCUCGAAAGCGUGGGGAGCAAACAGGAUUAGAUACCCUAGUAGUC
rnacentral:rRNA from 1 species